rnacentral:rRNA from 1 species
UACGUAGGCAGCAAGCGUUGUUCGGAAUUACUGGGCGUAAAGAGUGUGUAGGCGGUGUUCUAAGUCUGUUGUGAAAUCUCCCGGCUUAACUGGGAGGGUGCGGCGGAAACUGGAAUGCUAGAGGAUGGGAGAGGUAAGCGGAAUUCCUGGUGUAGCGGUGAAAUGCGUAGAUAUCAUUUGGAACGCCAAUGGUGAAAACAGCUCGCUGGGGGUUUUCUGACGCUGAGACACGAAAGCCAGGGGAGCAAACGGG